GACGAACGCUGGCGGCGUGCCUAAUACAUGCAAGUCGAACGCACUCUCGUUAGAUUGAAGAAGCUUGCUUCUGAUUGAUAACAUUUGAGUGAGUGGCGGACGGGUGAGUAACACGUGGGUAACCUGCCCUAAAGUGGGGGAUAACAUUUGGAAACAGAUGCUAAUACCGCAUAAAACCUAGCACCGCAUGGUGCAAGGUUGAAAGAUGGUUUCGACUAUCACUUUAGGAUGGACCCGCGGUGCAUUAGUUAGUUGGUGAGGUAAAGGCUCACCAAGACCGUGAUGCAUAGCCGACCUGAGAGGGUAAUCGGCCACACUGGGACUGAGACACGGCCCAGACUCCUACGGGAGGCAGCAGUAGGGAAUCUUCCACAAUGGACGAAAGUCUGAUGGAGCAACGCCGCGUGAGUGAAGAAGGUUUUCGGAUCGUAAAACUCUGUUGUUGGAGAAGAACGUAUUUGAUAGUAACUGAUCAGGUAGUGACGGUAUCCAACCAGAAAGCCACGGCUAACUACGUG
rnacentral:rRNA from 2 species